UACAGAGGUGGCAAGCGUUGUUCGGAAUCACUGGGCGUAAAGGGCGCGUAGGUGGUUUGAUAAGGGUGUGGUGAAAGUCCGGAGCUCAACUCCGGAUCUGCCGUGCCGACUGUCAAACUCGAGGGCUGUAGAGGCAGACGGAAUUCCGGGUGUAGCGGUGGAAUGCGUAGAGAUCCGGAGGAAGACCGGUGGCGAAGGCGGUCUGCUGGGCAGUUUCUGACACUGAGGCGCGACAGCGUGGGGAGCAAACAGG
rnacentral:rRNA from 1 species